rnacentral:rRNA from 1 species
UACGAAGGGGGCUAGCGUUGCUCGGAAUCACUGGGCGUAAAGCGCACGUAGGCGGAUUGCUAAGUCAGGGGUGAAAUCCUGGAGCUCAACUCCAGAACUGCCUUUGAUACUGGCGAUCUCGAGUUCGGGAGAGGUGAGUGGAACUGCGAGUGUAGAGGUGAAAUUUGUAGAUAUUCGCAAGAACACCAGUGGCGAAGGCGGCUCACUGGCCCGAUACUGACGCUGAGGUGCGAAAGCGUGGGGAGCAAACAGG